GAUGAACGCUAGCGGCAGGCUUAACACAUGCAAGUCGAGGGGUAUAGUUCUUCGGAAUUAGAGACCGGCGCACGGGUGCGUAACGCGUAUGCAAUCUACCUUUCACAGAGGGAUAGCCCAGAGAAAUUUGGAUUAAUACCUCAUAGUAUAGCAGUUUCGCAUGAAACCACUAUUAAAGUCACAACGGUGAAAGAUGAGCAUGCGUCCCAUUAGCUAGUUGGUAAGGUAACGGCUUACCAAGGCAACGAUGGGUAGGGGUCCUGAGAGGGAGAUCCCCCACACUGGUACUGAGACACGGACCAGACUCCUACGGGAGGCAGCAGUGAGGAAUAUUGGACAAUGGGCGCAAGCCUGAUCCAGCCAUGCCGCGUGCAGGAUGACGGUCCUAUGGAUUGUAACUGCUUUUAUACAGGAAGAAACCACUUACUUCGUGAAGUAGCUUGGACGGUACUGUUAAGAAUAAGGA
rnacentral:rRNA from 1 species